GACGAACGCUGGCGGCGUGCCUAAUACAUGCAAGUAGAACGCUGAAGCUUGGUGCUUGCACCGAGCGGAUGAGUUGCGAACGGGUGAGUAACGCGUAGGUAACCUGCCUGGUAGCGGGGGAUAACUAUUGGAAACGAUAGCUAAUACCGCAUAAGAGUAGAUGUUGCAUGACAUUUGCUUAAAAGGUGCAAUUGCAUCACUACCAGAUGGACCUGCGUUGUAUUAGCUAGUUGGUGAGGUAACGGCUCACCAAGGCAACGAUACAUAGCCGACCUGAGAGGGUGAUCGGCCACACUGGGACUGAGACACGGCCCAGACUCCUACGGGAGGCAGCAGUAGGGAAUCUUCGGCAAUGGACGGAGGUCUGACCGAGCAACGCCGCGUGAGUGAAGAAGGUUUUCGGAUCGUAAAGCUCUGUUGUAAGAGAAGAACGAGUGUGAGAGUGGAAAGUUCACACUGUGACGGUAUCUUACCAGAAAGGGACGGCUAACUACGUG
rnacentral:rRNA from 1 species